UACGAAGGGUGCAAGCGUUACUCGGAAUUACUGGGCGUAAAGGGUGCGUAGGUGGUUCUUUAAGUCUGCUGUGAAAGCCCCGGGCUCAACCUGGGAAUGGCAGUGGAUACUGGAGAGCUAGAGUGCGGUAGAGGGUAGUGGAAUUCCCGGUGUAGCGGUGAAAUGCGUAGAGAUCGGGAGGAACACCAGUGGCGAAGGCGGCUACCUGGACCAGCACUGACACUGAGGCACGAAAGCGUGGGGAGCAAACAGG
rnacentral:rRNA from 1 species